UAAGAAUCUCAGACCAUUUCCAGAGC
rnacentral:piRNA from 2 species